AGGCUGUCGGCAGUCGGCUUGGCGCUGACUUGUAGGACCCCGGGACCGGGCGCCUGGGCCAACUUGGGACCGCUGGGAGUGCAGAGGGGCCCCAGCGCCCGAGCCUUCCGGGAAUGGACGUGCGCGCCCUUGGGGCCGGCGCAUCAUCCACCGCCCACUAGCGUUGGCCCGCCCUGGGGAGAGGAGAAAAUGCCAGAGGCCGACACUUGACUGAUGGCGCUGCGGACCUCGCUGGUCUUGGGGACAAGGCGGCAGAUUUCCUUUAGAAAAACUUCCCUCUCGCGUCUCCCUGGCCCCGCGGCGACCGAAGAGUUGGGGUUCGGCUUUCUUCUCCUGGGAUUUAAGUGUUAUUUGAAACAGCUCCCUGCGCGGCCCUUUUCUCCUAAACUUUGACAGAAACUUCCCUUUGUCCCUACCAAUCCUCAGUGAGUUCUUUACAGGGGUCCGAGACAGGUUGUAGAUAUGAUGCGGCUUAUCGGCUUUACCCCGAUCCUAGCGGAGUUAGGACUUGCUGAUGUAAUUGGCCAGCACCUGCCUAACAAUGAAGGUUUAGUUAUGCUACAAGUAAUGCACCUCUAAAAAAACGUAAAACAGGCUUUACGUUUUACCUGCUAUCUCCACAGGUUUACUAGCUGCUUAAUACAAUAUGCUUGUAUAUCAAGGUGAGCAAAUUUCAGCAAAUGUCAUUGUAAAUAGUCCCAACUUAAAUGGAAUUGAACUCUGGAACUCAAUGUGCAUAGAAGUCCCUGAGACUGACGCCAUUCUAGAUCUACCACUAGAUGGUUUGCGAUGUACGGAAUUAAAGGCAGUCACUUCUACCUGAAUUGUGAUGAAAGUAGUUUACCUGAACAUGCUGGGAAAGUGUGCUACCCUGUUUUGUAUUAGAAACCAGUUUCCAAGUAAAUUGAAAAGCAAAUUUUCAGACUUGACAUUAAAAACACCUCCAUGUCAUUCUUACAAGAGGUACAAAAGCAUUUUAGAAAACUAAAGCCAGGAGUUUCUUCCCUUUUACCAGAAUCUUUUCCCUCCAUUUAACAAUAGUACUGUUGUGCUAAAUGAAAUUUACUUAAUGUAUUACUCUUACAGUCUCAAAACAAUAAGGGCAUUGCAAACCUUGUAUUAUCUCUAUCGUGUCAAGGAAACAAAACGGUUCAUUUAAGCAGUCAUGCAAAAAAUUCAAGAAAAACUGAUUUUGCUCAAUUCAACUAAUUGAAGCAAAGUAGUUUUUCUUGUUGUUUUAAUCUGCAUUUUGUACAUCAUUUCCACAUUGCUGGACCAGCAAAAUUCUGACCUCUGCAAUACAAUAAAAUGUGUUACUGGUAUUGACAGAUGAAGCCACAAAUAGAAAAUGAGCAUGGAAAUCCUACCUGGACUGAGGUAUCAAAGGAUACCAAGAGAUACUAGAGACAACAAGGAACCUGGAAAAAGAUAGUGUUCCAACCUGUAAAUAAGAAAACAGAGAAGGAGGUUCAUUAAUAUUUAAGAUACCAGCUAGUAAAUUAAAACAGCAAUGUAGUUGUCUGGCUUGAGUAUUCAGUUUUAUUUACUACAUCUUUUUAUCUUUUCUAGAAGCAAGGCAUUAA
rnacentral:lncRNA from 1 species